GACGAACGCUGGCGGCGUGCUUAACACAUGCAAGUCGAACGGAAAGGCCCCAGCUUGCUGGGGUACUCGAGUGGCGAACGGGUGAGUAACGCGUGGGUGAUCUGCCCUGCACUCUGGGAUAAGCCUGGGAAACUGGGUCUAAUACCGGAUAGGACCGUGCUUUAGUGUGUGCGGUGGAAAGUUUUUCGGUGCAGGAUGAGCCCGCGGCCUAUCAGCUUGUUGGUGGGGUAAUGGCCUACCAAGGCGGCGACGGGUAGCCGGCCUGAGAGGGUGUACGGCCACAUUGGGACUGAGACACGGCCCAGACUCCUACGGGAGGCAGCAGUGGGGAAUAUUGCACAAUGGGCGCAAGCCUGAUGCAGCGACGCCGCGUGGGGGAUGACGGCCUUCGGGUUGUAAACCCCUUUCGGCAGGGACGAAGCUUUUGUGACGGUACCUGCAUAAGAAGCACCGGCUAACUACGUG
rnacentral:rRNA from 1 species